UUUCCUUUUCUAGGGUUUCUCAUAAAGACUAGUAGUUGAACAAGGAUACUAACAAAAGAAGAUACAAAGGAAGUGCAUUUAGAGAAUACAAAGAGCACUGUUAUCAAAAUUGCCAACACGAAAAGUUUGUAGCAAAAUUUUUUUUAUUAUUCCACAAGCCCUGCCCAAUAACUAAUUUCAUCAUACAUAUGUCAGCAGUACAUUCAACUGGUGAAACUCUCCCAUUCAAAAUAUUAAAAUCCUCCUGAUGCCAUAAAAGUUGGAAGGUUAGAAAACUAAUUGGCAUCAGGAUAAAAUGCAUUUUCUCUACAAGUACGAAACCUCGAGUGACAACCAAGUUCAAGCCAAUAAGUCAUACACUUGUUGAUGGGUAAAUUUCCAUCCUUCAGCCAGAUGUAUUUUUCCUUGUAGCAUAGACUCGGUAAGCUGCCAGCCCAACGAUUGCCACUGCAGCUCCAACUGAAACAAACAUAAGAGAUCGAUUGAUUAGUCGAUGGUAUUGCUUGCGACUUCUCCCUGCUUCUGUUUCAGGAAUGCUCAAAUGAGGAUGUUCAGCUGCAUUAACAAUCCUGCGGAAGACACUAUUGGUAUCACCCAUUUUGGAACUGAUGGGAAUAGGAGCCUCAAUUCCCAUAUCCUGACUAACCCUUGUAGAUUCUUGUAUUGCCAUUGGAAAAGAAUUUAGAUCAUCUUUAGCUGCAACAAUUAGGCAAGGCACCUCAUAGCCAGUAUCCUCACCAUGACCAGCAACUUCAACAAGCAAUUCAGUAGCUCUCCUCCAUGAGGACUCAUCAGAGCUGUCAUGAACAAACACUGCUAUGUCACAUGAUGCCAGAGACUCCUUAUCGGACAGCAGUUUCUUAACUCCUUCCUCAGGAAUUUCUUUCAAAAUAAGGGUUUUCUUAAUUCCCCCAGGUAGAUCAACAACAUUCACUGCAUAACCCUCCUCGGUAGUCAAAGAAUCAUCAGCAAAUGGCCUUCCAACAAAAGAAUUCAAUAACGCAGACUUCCCAGCAUUCUUGGGUCCAAGGACAAAACAUUGGAAAACAUUUCUUUCUGUUUGUUGUUUCUUGCGAUCUAGACGCCGUCUCCUUGUUAUACGGACAGCAGCAGAAGGAUCACCAGGAUAUCCAAUGUAGAUCAAAUUCUCCACAGCACGAGAAGGAUCUAGAAGUGUCAUAAGGGCCCACUCUGACAAAAAUGCAUUAACUGAUAGUCCACCCAAUGCGGUUUUCUCUGCAGCAUCCUUGUAUGGAGCUUCAUCCCAGGGGCUUUCUGGUGCAGUAGAAAAAAUAUCCUCAAGUUCUACUGGUCGCAGGUUAUUAUCGUAAUCACUAUCGAACAAUUCGUAGAUUCCCUUCAAAAACUCGAUAGUUUCAUUUGUAAGCUCCACACUCUGAUCAGGAGCUCGUUUGAAUGUUGGAAUUAGCUCAUCAGCAAGUUUGAUAUCAUUGUUAUAUCCAAAUUUUCUGAGGACAGUCCAAGUUGUCUCAGGACGUCCUUUUUCUAUCAACAGUGCAUGGAGAAACAAGAAUCCUGUGAGAGUAAGACCUCGUUCAUUGACUCCUCUAUCAGUGGCUCCUCCACCAGGUAACUUUUCUUCCACAACCCUCUUAACACCUAUGAUUUCGGAAGGUUGUAAUGGAGCAUUGAAGCAUUUGACCUGAAAAUCAUUUAAUUCUGCAUCACUGAGGGCACCAUCCCUGUCAUGAUCACAGAGAAUAAAAAUACGCUUCAAGGCGCUCUCACACCUAGGCUUCAAAGUUUGUGAUUCCUGAUCGAAUAGUGGACCAGUUGGGUGAAGCACUGCUUUUUGGGCAUAGUAGAAAACCUCAGGGAUCUGAGUAUGUUUAAAUGCUGAACACUCGGUGCAAGUCUCAAUUUCCCAAAACUGUUGCAUUAUUGGUGACGUCACUUGCUCCAAGCUCACCUGCUGGUUCUCAUCCCUUAAAUCCAGCUUGCAACCCACCACUAUGACUGGCACCUUCACCUGCUUAUUGUUUAUAAAUACGCAUUAGAAAUACAUAUAAAUAUAUGCCCUCUGAGUGUGUAUGUGUUCUGCGACUCCAUCUGUUCCUACAAGAUAAGAUACAGUUUUGACAAACAAUCCCAGGAGAAAAGUUCCCAAAGUUCCAUCCACUUUUUUUUUUUUGGUAUUAGUGAAUGCUUAUCAGAUAGCAAUAUAAAACCGUAAACCAUUUUAUUCAGGUUUAACAAAAACAUGUGCCUAUUCACUAUUAUAUAUUUGGAUAAUUUCUUCCUGCACUAAUCAUUCAUAUUUCUAACGGGUAUGUUCUUUCGAAAUAAAAGAUAGAAACCUCCAAACGGCGAAGCUCUGGAAGCCAGAAGGUACUCAAUCGAUCAAGAGUCUCUGGCUUGUCACAUGCAUAAGUAAGAACAACUGCAUCAGCUCGCUUUAGUUCUUCAGCUACUUUACCAGAAUCCUCAACUCUAGAGGAAGUAUCGAUGAUAGUAACGGGUACCCGGUCAGGGUAGAAAUCCUCAGGCAGCCUCGUGGGCGGCAGAACCGGCGGGACAUUAGCCGGGAAAGUGUCAGCAUCGGCGGUGACUAUCAAGCUCGACUUUCCAGUUCCCCGGUCUCCAGCCACCACGAUACGGACUCCAUUCUUACCGCCGGGGUUAGUGGUUCCAGCUGCAGCUUUCGUCAUUUAUAUAACUAAAACACUGCAAAACGAAAUCAACAAACCUCACUGAUUGAAACUAACAGAUACAGAAGCACAAUCGAAUAGAUGCAGAUAAGAAUGGCAAAACGCGUAAAUAACCAGGGAAAAGGGUCACAAUUGGGAUUGCAGGAUAAAUUGAGAGUUAAGAAACUGCAUAAAAGUCCUGCAACGUAAAAUAUCGACUAGUAUUCCCAG
rnacentral:misc_RNA from 1 species